GGCAUGUUUCAAACUUCCACAGAUUUCUUGGCUUCAUUAUCAGGAGAAGUAUGCGAUCCCAUAGGUAAUGUUCAGUAAGAGAUGUAUCUGUCCUGCCCCGUCUCAGACUGAUCACGUUCUGCCCUCUGUCUCCUUGGCUGUAGGGCUCCUCUUCACUGGCUGUGAACUCCUUAAGUAAGGUUCCUGAUGUUCAUGUUUGUAAUUGCUGCCCACUCUGAGGCUAGCUCCUUCCUGCAAUGGCCCAAGACUGUAAUUACAGGUUGGAUUGGUUGGAAGUUGGUUGCUCUCUACCAUGUAGGGGAAAGGUCAAGACUAUGAACAUUGCUCUUCAUCAGACGCCUUACUGGAAGCAGAGAGGAAGGAUGAGGGUUCCUGUGGUAAUCUCAUGAUUCUCUAGAAGCAGGUGCUCUCCUACCCUCAUUCUGUUUGAGGGAGCCUGGUCAGCUGCUUGGAGUCCAAGAGCUAGCGGGAGAGGAGACAGUCUGAAAGCAGGAACCAUCAGAAGUCAUCCUUAGUGCCCAUAACAUAGUACCCCUCACCAGGACACUGCUCUGUCUGACACUGAAGUAUUGGCAGGGUCGGGCAAGGUGCCAACAAGUGGGUUUUGUCUAUCCCUAAAUGAUGACUGCUUGAGAUCUCACCUGCUCUGCCUUCCUUCCUGAGAUUCCAAGAGAAAUUGCUUGGAAGUGUAUUAAAUGCAAACUAAGUCAGAUGUAA
rnacentral:lncRNA from 1 species